CCUUGCUAUGUGCAGUCCUUUCCUAGUGAAAGCACAUAUAGGUGCUUGGAUAAAGGUGACAUCAGUUAUGUCUUUGGCAUUUUCAUUGGCUGCUUUCAUUCUCCUAUUAAUAGACACCAAACAAAUUGAAAACAAAAUUCUGGCAGGAGUGGAAGCAAGCUUGAACUUGUGCCAAACCGUUCUUGUAUUCCUUCUCUGUGGACCGAGCCAUGAAUUAAGGAAGAUUUUCUGCUGGGUGCUCAGGAUCAUUGCAGUCAUAAACUGUUGUUUUACAAUUGCUAUACUAUUUGUAGGUCUUGUGGAGCAUUGCUCUAAAAGCUCCUGCUUCUGGCCCUACAUAUUAAUGGGAGUAUAUUUAGGGUGUCAACUGCUGUCAUGUAUAUUUUU